AACGAACGCUGGCGGCGUGCCUAACACAUGCAAGUCGAACGAGAAAGGGGCUUCGGCCCUGAGUAAAGUGGCGCACGGGUGAGUAACACGUAGGUAACCUGCCUCCAAGAUUGGGACAAC
rnacentral:rRNA from 1 species